rnacentral:rRNA from 1 species
UACAGAGGUGGCAAGCGUUGUUCGGAAUUACUGGGCGUAAAGGGCGCGUAGGCGGUCUUUUAAGUUCCGUGUGAAAUCCCUCGGCUCAACUGGGGAACUGCACGGGAAACUGGAAGGCUUGAGUUCGGGAGAGGGAAGCGGAAUUCCGGGUGUAGCGGUGAAAUGCGUAGAUAUCGGAAGGAACAUCAGUGGCGAAAGCGACUUCCUGGACCAAUACUGACGCUCAUGUGCGAAAGCGUGGGGAGCAAACAGG